rnacentral:rRNA from 1 species
GCGUUAUCCGGAUUUACUGGGCGUAAAGCGCGUUAAGGCGGCUCGUUAAGUUAGUGGUGAAAUUUCAGGGCUUAACCCUGAAACUGCCUCUAAUACUGGCGGGCUUGAGUGCGAGAGAGGAAGGUGGAAUUCCCGGUGUAGUAGUGAAAUGCGUAGAUAUCGGGAGGAACACCAGUGGCGAAGGCGGCCUUCUGGCUCGUAACUGACGCUGUAGCGCGAAAGCGUG